CGGCCCACCCAUCCCAUGUCUGUGUCACGUUGGGUUCCACCGACAUGUGUCGGUUACCUUCCUUGUUUCGCAUUGUUUCCCACUCAACCGAAAUAUAUUCAAACUAACGGGAUUGCCCCACGUAACCUCGCAUCCUACCCGGCCUGCGAGUCGGAACUCGGGAAGUCGGUGGGAGGGCAAACGAAAAAAAAAGGUUGGAGGGCAUAUUUCUUGUAAUCCAAAGGGGAGGAGGAGAGGACACGUGCCGGCGAGGAUUAAGCUAGCUUCCUCAACUCCCUUUGUUUUUCUUUUAAUAGCUGCUUCAUGAGCGCGAGUUCGCAGUUCAGAUUUCGGGGGGAGAGGGAUUCCAGAAGAAGAGAGAGCUCCAAAGGAGAGAGGUAGAGCCCGGUGGAAUCCAGGUCGAGGGUGGUGGGUUAGAGAAAGCAAUGGCAGUACGGAUUUGCCGUCUCCUCCUCCUCUUUUGGUUAUUCUCAGGUCAAGUCCUCCAAAUUCUUUGCCUCACAAUUGGAAUCAACUAUGGGCAGAUUGCCAACAAUCUUCCUCCUCCUACCCGAGUUGCUGGCCUCCUCCAAUCCCUUAACAUCAGCAGAGUAAAGCUCUACGAUGCCGACCAGAAUGUCCUCAGUGCCUUCCUUAAUACCAACAUUGAGUUCAUAAUUGGAAUUGGCAAUGAGAAUGUGUCAACAAUGACAGACUCGACAAAAGCCCAGGUAUGGCUCCAACAGCAUGUCCAGCCUUACAUUCCACAUACCCGAAUCACCUGUAUCACCAUCGGAAAUGAGGUCUUCACCAGCAAUGACACUGUUUUGAAGUCUAACCUUCUUCCAGCAAUGCAAUCGGUAUACCAAGCUCUCGUUGCCCUCGGAUUGGACAAGCAAGUGAAUGUCACCACUGCGCAUUCCCUUGACAUCUUGGGAAACUCCUACCCUCCUUCCUCGGGCUCUUUCCGCCAGGAUCUUGCUGAGUACAUCCAUCCCCUCCUCAACUUCCAUUCUAUGACCAAGUCCCCCUUUCUCGUAAAUGCCUAUCCUUACUUCGCCUACAAAGCAAACCCGAAUACUGUCUCAUUGGAAUAUGUCCUCUUUCAGCCUAAUUCAGGAAUCACUGAUCCAAAUACCAAUCUGAAUUAUGACAACAUGCUUUAUGCUCAGAUCGAUUCAGUUUAUACUGCAAUUCAAGGAAUGGGUCAUACAGAUAUUGAUGUAAGGAUUUCUGAGACUGGGUGGCCAUCCAAGGGAGAUCCUGACGAGGUAGGGGCCACUCCAGAUAAUGCAGCAAUGUAUAAUGGGAAUUUGUUGCGAAGGAUAGCAAUGAAUCAGGGCACACCCCUGAAACCUUCAGUGCCCAUUGAUAUCUAUGUUUUUGCGCUGUUUAAUGAAGAUUUAAAACCAGGGUCAACCUCAGAAAGGAACUAUGGGCUGUUUUAUCCUGAUGGUACCCCAGUUUAUAAUAUUGGAUUACAUGGUUACCUUCGACCAAUGUCAUCAUCAUGCAAGCUGAUGGGGAGAGCAAGCUGCAAUUGUUGUGUGAAGGAUUAAGUGUGCUACAAGUUCCUAGCACAGAAGAUCUGUCAUUGAUGUUUCGCGGCCCUGAUCAUUGCCUUUAGCUUUCUGUAGGAAAAAUAAAAUAAAGAAAAAGGAAAAGGACUAACCUUUCCGUAAAUGCAGGUGAUUCAUGGGCUAGGCCUUCUCAUCAUCACGAUAGCAGCUUUCAUCUUAGCUUAAAAGCAUAUUCUCUAGAUGAUAAGCAAAGUGGAGGAACAACUAAUGACUGAGGAUUUCUUGCCUCCACCAGUUUUUGGAAGGUGUCCAGGCAAAUCCUCUAGAGAUUCUCAACUCUGAAGUGCGCUAGGCUGCGUCUGAAUCUUGCUAUCACAUUGUGACCGGCCGCAUGCUGACGACAACUGGUUCCCGUGGAAGCAACCGGCUGAAAUUUAGGGAUAGAAAAACAGUUGAUUUAAAAUUCUUGUGCAGAAAUAAAUCGGCAAUGAGAAAGUAACAUUUGAAAAACUGAUCUUAAUUUACAGAGGAAUAAUGAAUGCUCAGGUCCAUGUA